UACGAAGGGGGCUAGCGUUGCUCGGAAUCACUGGGCGUAAAGGGUGCGUAGGCGGGUCUUUAAGUCAGGGGUGAAAUCCUGGAGCUCAACUCCAGAACUGCCUUUGAUACUGAAGAUCUUGAGUUCGGGAGAGGUGAGUGGAACUGCGAGUGUAGAGGUGAAAUUCGUAGAUAUUCGCAAGAACACCCAGGUGGCGAAGGCGGCUCACUGGCC
rnacentral:rRNA from 1 species